rnacentral:rRNA from 1 species
CAGUCGCCGCGGUAAUACAGAGGGUGCGAGCGUUAAUCGGAUUUACUGGGCGUAAAGCGUGCGUAGUCGGCUUCUUAAGUCGGAUGUGAAAUCCCUGAGCUUAACUUAGGAAUUGCAUUCGAUACUGGGAAGCUAGAGUAUGGGAGAGGAUGGUAGAAUUCCAGGUGUAGCGGUGAAAUGCGUAGAGAUCUGGAGGAAUACCGAUGGCGAAGGCAGCCAUCUGGCCUAAUACUGACGCUGAGGUACGAAAGCAUGGGGAGCAAACAGGAUUAGAUACCCGCGUAGUCCCUGUCUUUAUACA